AUCAAAGGACCUCUAUAAGUUAGAUUUGGCAAGCUGCAGGAGACAAAGAUGGACUACACAUAGUUUGGGUCUUUACAGUGCUCAUAAUACAGUAGAGCUGUGCCUACUGAAUUUCUGUAUUUUUCCAACAGAAUUUCCCUAAAAAUGCUUUUUUUUUUUUUUUUUUUUUUUUCGUUUAUCCACUUGUCCACUUAACAAAUAACUGUCAGGUAUCUUUAAGGUACUAAGCAUCUUCCUUGUUAUUAUCAUUGUCAUUUUUUAUUUGCUUCUUUAUUAAGGUACUAAGCAUUUUUUCCUGUUAUUGUCAUCUUUUUUAUUAUUUAUUACUUUAUUUAGUGCUUACUCUGUGCCAGAACUCCUUUGAGAGCUUAUAAUUAUUACUUAUUAUGUCAUGUUGUUACUGUAUUCAGCAUGUGUCAGACAUUUUAUAUCCAAGGUGAAGAAUUAAAGCUUUAAAAAGUUUGAUAGUGUCCAGGCGCAGUGGCUCACUCCUGUAAUCCUAGCACUUUGGGAGGCCAAGGUAGAUGGAUUGCUUGAGCUCAGGAGUUUGAGACCAGCCUGACUAACAUGGUGAAACCCAUCUCUACUAAAUAUGAAAAAUUAGCCGGGUGAUGUGGCCUGUGCCUGUAAUCCCAGCUACUUGGGAGGCUGAGGUAAGAGGGUCACUUGAUGUGGGAGAAUUGUUUGAAUUGCAUUGAGCUGAGAUCGCGCCACUGCACUCUAGCCUGGGUAACAGAGCAAGACUCCAUCAAAAAAAAAAAAAAAAAAAAAGAGAGAGAGAAAAGAAAAGUUUGGUAAUAUUUAAGGAAAGCAUACAGAAUGAGUAGAAGUUUGCCAGGUGAAGAGUCAGGAGGAUGAUAUUAGCAGAAAGAAAAUUUAACCAGAUUGCAUGUUUGGCAGAAGGAACACCUGCAGGAACAACUGAUGAGGCUGCACCCUUGGCGGAAAGAACUCCUGACAUGGCUGAAAGCUUGGUGGAAAGACCACCUGAUGAGGCUGCACCCUUGGUGGAGGGAACAUCUGACAAAAUUCAAUGUCUGGGGAAAGCGACAUCUGGAAAGUUUGAACAGUCCUCAGAAGAAACACCUAGGAAAAUUAUGAGGCCUACAAAAGAAACAUCUGAGAAAUCUGAAUGGCCAGCAAAAGAAAGACCUAGGAAGAUCACAUGGGAGGAAAAAGAAACAUCUGUAAAGACUGAAUGCGUGGCAGGAGUAACACCUAAUAAAACUGAAGAUUUGGAAAAAGGAACAUCUAAGAUGAUUGCAUGUCCUACAAAAGAAACAUCUAUAAAAGCGAGUACAAAUGUGGGUAUGAGUUCUGUAGAGCCUAAAAUCAGUCUUCGUGGCAAACCGACUAUUGAAAAUUCACAGUCUACAAAAGUUGAGGAAGACUUUAAUCUUGCUACCAAGGAGGGAGCAACAAAGACAGUAACUGGACAACAAGAAAAUGAUAUUGGCAUUAUUGAACAAGCUCCACAAGAUCAAACAAGUAAUGACAAUUUUAUUUUUUAUACCAAAAUAAUAGAAGUGGUAAUUUAGUGAGAAAAAUAUUCCCAGUAACAAAUAUACAUUUGCAAUUUGAAAUUUGUAGGUUCAGCUUUUCAACAUUUCAAAUAUUUCAGGGGACUCUCUGUAGUGUUUUAGGGUAAAGGGAAGCAACAGGGCCUUCUUAAGUGGCUUUUAUGCUGAAAAACAAUAUCAUUUUCCAGUGACACAGAUUAGUCUUUAAAUCAGAAGAAGAAGAAAAAGACAAAGAAAC
ensembl:lincRNA